AAGCGCUUUGGAAGCGAGAUUCCGUAAGCUUCCACAAGGUUCCGAUUCCGAUUCCGGUUCCGAAGCGGGAAGCGAGCGUCCGAUGAAGUUUCCGUGCAACGUAGCUCAAAACUACAUCAAAGCCGUUUUCAAAAAUCAACAACCAUCCCAUUGAAAUUCACGAACAAACCCAAAACAAUCAUUUUCCAACAAAAUUAAGGAAAGUUCAAAAUAACAAAAUGAGCUAAACCAUAUUAUAUAUGGUUUCUUUCUGAUGAUCCUUGAUAAAGCCUAUUCGGAUGCCACACUAACGAUAUUUUUUAAAUUACGCAAGUCCAAUAACCCCUACUUACUGUUUAAACUCAGCACCAUUAAAACCACAUUCAGCAAUUAAAAACACCCGUUGAAAAAUGACUCACGUUACAGGAAUCUGAGAGGGCAUCGAGCUAAACAUCAAACAUUUAACACCAUAUAAACAUCCCUUUUUAUUAACACUAUAUUAUUCUCUCUAAAACACAAUGAAUCCGGCAACAUCAACUCCAAAUUGAAACCUCAGUACCUCACCAUCGAGAUUAAGCGGCCAUAUACCAAUCAAACUGAGAUAUAAUUCGAGAUAAGACACUUUCACACAAUUUACAUUUCGCUAAUCUAAUAAAACAUGAUAGCCAAUAUACGCAAGAAAAAAACAAUAUACACAAAUACCAUCCGCCCGCACAAACAUGUCAAGUAUAUAUCUUUCUCAAAAAAAAACAUGCCAAGUAUAUAAUACAACCCAAAUUUGUUUAACGUGCAUACAAAAAUUUCUACCACCUUUAUCUAUAUCCUACCAUAUAAAUUGAAAUUUUUAAUCAGUACAUUAUUCACUUACUCAAGAUAUAUACAUAUAUAAAAAUACGUAACGAGCAUAAUUAUUCGUUUAUGUAGUGCAUGCUACCCGGUUUUGCACUUUUACUGUUUCGUCAGAGUACAGUUCCCGCUUAAUUAAUUAAUAUUUAUAUUACUAUUUGUUAUAUACUUUUAAAUAUAUAAAAGUGGAUAGAUGGCAUAUGUUAAAAAAACUCAGUCAAUUAAAAAGAAUUAAUUGAAAAGAUUUUGUCAAAAAAAAAAAGAAUUAAUAGAUAACAUAUUUAUGGUCAAAUCUAUGUCUUAGUUUGUUGUAGUGUCACACAAAAUUCAUAAAAACAAUAGUGAGAAUAAUUAAAAAGCUUUUAUAAGAAAAGAGAGUGAUUACUAAUUCAUAGCAAAACACCCAACAAAAAAUUUAUCACCCGAAAUUUGAUAUUGGUCAAUAAUAUACCUAACUAAUAUUUUAAAAUAUUUAUGUCAAAUUGUAACAAAACAAAAACAAAAUUUUAUAAACAGCGACAAUCCCGUCUAUAAAAUCCACAGUGACUAUAAAAUCCCGUCUGGUUCUCUCAGUGAACUCCUACUAAACAUACUCGCUUCAUAACUCACCCCCAAAUCCAUUGCUAACAAAACGUUGACUCUGACGGAGAGAUCGAUAUGGAGAACGACUUAGCAAGUGACGGAUGAAUCAACGUUGAGAGCGAUGUAGUAGGCUGCGGCGAGAGUGAGAUGAAGAGCGACAGAGCUAUUGUUAAGCCGCCUAUUGAAGUGACGGUAAUCAGUCAAGAUACAAACCAGGUUGCAAAUCUAAAGAGGAUAUGACAUACCAUGUGUGUAAUAAGCGGCUGGAAGAAUGUAUUUAAUUGGAGACUAAGUUUUGCAUCACAAGUGGAUGCCAUUAAAGAGACUAGCAAACGAUUAAGUUGGAGCUGACGAAAGCGUUGAGCUACCCGUUGAAAUUAACCGCCAAGAAUGCUGUCAGCGUAAAAGUAUUGUCAGCGUAAAAGUAAAAAAAAGAAAUGGCAACUCCUCAAUGCCUGGUCGACUCCAUCGGCCAGCCGACAAAUUCAUGGUGAAAGUAACACCAUACAACUUCACAGCUAAAAGACAAGAUUAUUACCGCCACCAGAGUUGUCUCUCCUGCAGUACCCCCACCUCUUAAUCUUACAUUGGACAUCUCCAUUGCAGCUUCAGAUGUGCCUGACAAACUCAUUACCGAGAAUGAUGUCAGCUACUCAACCCAACUGAUAGAGAUAUAGCCAGUGUUUUAUUAUGAUUCAAGUUCAUCAACCAAGGACGAGGACUCAGAAAGUGAAACAAAACGUCAUGGGCGUUGCGCCUAAGACCUCAGCCCCUCCACGUACCGACCCAGUUGGAAUCCAUGGAGACCAUUGCGACGUCCAACAUCGUCCAGUUGGAAUCAAAAGAAGUCAGACAUGUUUUUGCUAAGAAAACACAGGACAUACAUAUGGCUCAGUUAGAAAUCUAGCAAACCAAAUAAAACGAAAAGUGAUUAUUUAAAAUAAAGGUUUAUAUAAUUGUAUA